AUUAGUAUUAGUUAUUUUCUUGAAAAUUAAAGAUUUUGGCGGUGUUUUAGUCUAUUCAGAGGAACCUGUUCUGUAAUUGAUAGUCCACGAUUAACUUUACUUAAAUAAUUUGUAUAUCGUCGUUAUUUUGAAUAUUUUAUAAGAAUUUUAAUUUUCAAUUUUUAAUAUAAAAAUUUAAGUCAGAUCAAGGUGCAGUUUAUAUCUAAGAAGUAAUGGGUUACAAUAAAUUUGUUUAAAUGGUUUAGUAAUUGAAAUUUUAUUAUUAAAGUGGUAAAGUAAGAUUUUGAAAGGAGGGACUAGAUGACA
rnacentral:rRNA from 1 species